rnacentral:lncRNA from 1 species
GCUGGCUGCCUGACUGCUGUGUGCACAUCAUGCUGUUUUUGGAGUUAGUAUUCCACACCCCAAAGAUGCAAGAGACAUUACCAGCAUCAUGCAUGAGCACUAUAACUCAAGAGAAUUGUGAUAGGAGAAACCAAUAAUUCAUCAACAGCUGAAAGUUGCACAUAGUGACAAGGGCAUGUGUACAUAAAAAUGGAAAUACGUAUGCUUGUAAAAAACGUCUGAAAAGUAAAUGAUUGGACUGAAGAAAAAACUACUUUAGAGAAAGUAAUUUAAUCAGUUGUUCUUUGAUAUGUGCUCAAUGGAAAAGACCUUGUAUUCUGGUGAAUUUAUUACUUUUUCC